rnacentral:rRNA from 1 species
CAGCCGUAAACAAUGUGCGUUAGGUGUGUCGGUAACCACGUGUUACUGAUGCGCCGAAGAGAAAUCGUGAAACGCACCACCUGGGAAGUACGGUCGCAAGGCUGAAACUUAAAGGAAUUGGCGGGGGAGCACCACAACAGGUGGAGCCUGCGGUUUAAUUGGAUUCAACGCCGGAAAUCUCACCGGAUAGGACAGACAUAUGAUAGUCGGGCUGAAGACUCUACUUGAUGAUCUGAGAGGUGGUGCAUGGC